CGAGGGCAAGUGCAAUUGGUGGGGUUUUCCACACUCGCCUGAUCGAUACAUGAGGAUUGUUCGAUGUAUGUCGAUCAAUCGUGGAAGGGAGGCGCCUUUGGGCGUCGACGAGACCGAAGAGGAUGAAGAGGGAAGAACACCGAGGUUGUUCAUGGUCUCGGUGGGUUUGCUCGACCGAGGGGAAGAGAGUGGUGCGACCGGGGUUGAGGUUUGCUCGAGUCUCACAGGUCGUAUUCUUCUUCUCUUUUUAUUUUUAUUUUCUGAUCGAUAGCGCAGUGGGUAUCCCCGGGGUUUGGCGAGGCGGAAGGGGGGGGAUGGAAAGGAAUGGCAGCGAAGUUGCUGGGGUCUCGGUCGGCUGCUAGGUGCGGAGGGGAAGGAGGACAUUUGUCCCGACGGACCGAGGCAAGCGGGAACAGCAGCUCCAGUGGGAGUUUUGGCAGUGGUGCUUGAUAGAAGAAGAUGAGGUUGCUCAGGAAAGAAGGAAGAACAGGAACGAAGGAAGAACGGAAGAGGAAUCAAGGAUGGCAGCAACUCCGAUUACUGUUAUGUUUUUUCAGUCAGCAAGGUAUUCGUGGGGCAGGAGGAUCGUAAGGGAUAGAGAUAUUUGAGUGAUCUCUUUUUGUUUUUAAUGCUUGAUCUUUUUUGUUUUUGUUUUUGUUUUUUUUUGUUUUUGUUUUCUUUAUUUUUUUUUCUUUUUAGUGUUUAAUCGGUUUUCGUUGUUUUUCUUAAUUGGGUCAUCGUGUCGUGUUUUUGUCUGACACGACACGACAUAACAAAGUUUUAUGUGACACGAAUAUGACACGACACAAUGUCGUGUUUUUUUAACUAAUACGAAAAGAACCGAUUAAAAAACGAUAAA